GACAGAGGAUGCAAGCGUUAUCCGGAAUGAUUGGGCGUAAAGCGUCUGUAGGUGGCUUUUUAAGUCCGCCGUCAAAUCCCAGGGCUCAACCCUCGGAUGCCGGUGGAUACUGUCGGGCUCGAGUACGGAAGAGGCGAGUGGAAUUCCUGGUGUAGCGGUGAAAUGGCGCAGAUAGUCAGGAGGAACACCUAUUGCGAAGGCAGCUCGCUGGGACGUUACUGACGCUGAGACGCGAAAGCGUGGGGAGCAAACAGG
rnacentral:rRNA from 1 species